UCAACCCAUCGGAACGCUUAUUUAUGCAUUUCGCGAUUUGCUUUCGCUAAUUCACCAAUCCUUUUAUGCCCUUUUACUUCUUUUGCUUUUGAGUUUUAAGCAAUUACCGCUCAUGGGUUUCAACACCAUAGUUUCGCACAGUGGAUACAAAUAUCCAUUGGGUGUAUAGCUCAUUUAGGGCUUGCUAACGGCGGAUCUGUGACAAUUGUACACACCCAUGUGUACGUGUAUGUGUAUAAAUACAUUUUCUUCCUAAUGUUUAGCUGUGUUAUGUACAUAUAUUAUGUAGAUAGACAUUUUCUUUCUGAUGUUUAACCGUCUUAUAGUAAUUGUGUUUGUUUCGAUCUACAUUACAGCAUGCCUAAUGGGCAUUAUUAGUUUGAGAUCUGUGAUAAUUGUAAAGCGUGAUGCACGCUAUUUUAUUUUCCGAUGGUAUUGAACUGUAUUUAUAGUUGUGUUUGUCUCGACUCGAUCUAUAUUACAACAUGCUUGACGGGAAUUAGUUUUGAUCUGUGAACUUCAUUCUAGCAUGAUCUUAAUGGACACGGUGUGAUUUUUCUAUUGCCUACGG